AGAUACGCUGGCCUUAACCUCCUUGCUGCUUGGGACUGCAGAUAAACAUCUGUUUGCCUUUUGCAACUUCUAAUGUGUUGUUUUUAAUGUAGAUCUACCAUAAUUUCCAUUUUGUGGUAACCUGAUUUGGUUUUGGUACAAUAACAGCAACAAAUGGAAGUGAUAAUUUGCAUCUGAAGCUGGAAAUAUGUUUUACAAAAACUGCUAUGCAAAGGGUAGCACCUUUGCAUGCUCAGUACCGUAUCACAUUAAUCAUAUGGUACUCAGCGAACCUAUUCUUACUCAGUCCUCCUACAGAAAAUAGAGAAGUACAUUUUUAGCAGGAAAAAACCUGUGAGUAUCCUUGUGACAGUGUACAGAUUUCUCAGGGCUUUCUGGAAGGAAACUUGGACUUCUGCCACCUGCUCCGAUUGUGUUCAUGCAUAAAUGAUCCAGGGAAUGGGUUGACAUUACCUCUAAUUAGGGGUAAUAACAGCCUGCUACUGAAAGAGCCAGUUCCCUUUCUCUUGUGUGUGUGUCCCUCAUUUCUCCUGUGUUAGGUCUAGUGUUUGUGCAGCCACAGGGUAAGUCAGUUCAGUGACCUGAUCCAGCAGAAAACUCAACCAUUAAGAAAAAAUAGAAAACCGUUGGUUGGUUUGUUGUUUUUUUUUUUUUCAUCAGGUCAAUUGACUGAAGCUCUGUAACCAUUUGAUCUGCGUGAUGUACAGGAUGGCGAGGAGUGGGGUGAGAUGAAGGCAGAGUGCAGGACUACACCCUUUUGGUGGCCUUCUGCAAUUGCACUGAUCAGAGAGCCCUUCCCAAUAAACAGGAAUAGGAGUAAUGGACAGAAAGACACUCUUAAGUCCUUCUCAGCUGUAUGUCUCUUGAAGCUUGGGUUUGGUGUUUUUUGGUUUUUUUUUUAGAGAAAUCUGAUUUUAGGGAACAGGUCAAGACCUAGGUAUUAUUUGUGCAGUAGUACUCACCCAUGAUGUUACAGUUCAACCAUAAUUUUGUGCAAGAAAUAAAGAAACAAGAAAUAGCGAACA
rnacentral:lncRNA from 1 species